rnacentral:lncRNA from 1 species
AUGUUUUUUAAUUUUAAAGAGAAAACAAAGGGAAUAACUUGCUUUUAAGCUAUUGGAUAGUGUUACAAUAAUAUUUUUAAAUGAAUUGUGUUGAAUUUUGCUACAGUAGUCGUUUUGUGUUUGUACCUGGUCCAGAGGAUCCUGGAUUUGGUUCCAUCUUACCAAGGCCACCACUUGCUGAAAGCAUCACUAAUGAAUUCAGACAAAGGGUACCAUUUUCAGUUUUUACUACUAAUCCUUGCAGAAUUCAGUACUGUACACAGGAAAUUACUGUCUUCCGUGAAGACUUAGUAAAUAAAAUGUGCAGAAACUGCGUCCGUUUUCCUAGCAGCAAUUUGGCUAUUCCUAAUCACUUUGUAAAGACUAUCUUAUCCCAAGGACAUCUGACUCCCCUACCUCUUUAUGUCUGCCCAGUGUAUUGGGCAUAUGACUAUGCUUUGAGAGUGUAUCCUGUGCCCGAUCUACUUGUCAUUGCAGACAAAUAUGAUCCUUUCACUACGACAAAUACCGAAUGCCUCUGCAUAAACCCUGUAAGAAUGUAGUUAAUCUUAUAUAGUCAUUAUUUAUCAAGAUUAGAGUGCAUUUUUUAAUUUAAAAAUAUAUAUUUAAUAAGAUUAUUGUCGAAGUAAAAAUAUGCUAUUAGUGAAACACUGAAUUAAGUUUCUAUACACAGAAA